rnacentral:rRNA from 1 species
CCUACGGGAGGCAGCAGUGAGGAAUAUUGGUCAAUGGACGAGAGUCUGAACCCGCCAAGUAGCGUGAAGGAUGACUGCCCUAUGGGUUGUAAACUUCUUUUAUAUGGGAAUAAAAUGUUCCACGUGUGGGAUUUUGUAUGUACCAUAUGAAUAAGGAUCGGCUAACUCCGUGCCAGCAGCCGCGGUAAUACGGAGGAUCCGAGCGUUAUCCGGAUUUAUUGGGUUUAAAGGGAGCGUAGGUGGAUUGUUAAGUCAGUUGUGAAAGUUUGCGGCUCAACCGUAAAAUUGCAGUUGAAACUGGCAGUCUUGAGUACAGUAGAGGUGGGCGGAAUGCGUGGUGUAGCGGUGAAAUGCUUAGAUAUCACGAAGAACUCCGAUUGCGAAGGCAGUUCACUGGACUGCAACUGACACUGAGGCUCGAAAGUGUGGGUAUCAAACAGGAUUAGAUACCCCGGUAGUC